UACGUAGGGGGCAAGUGUUGUCCGGAUUUAUUGGGCGUAAAGAGCGUGUAGGCGGCCAGGUAGGUCAGCUGUGAAAACUCGAGGCUCAACCUCGAGACGCCGGUGGAAACCAUCUAGCUAGAGUCCGGAAGAGGAGAGUGGAAUUCCUGGUGUAGCGGUGAAAUGCGCAGAUAUCAGGAAGAACACCCGUGGCGAAGGCGGCUCUCUGGGACGUGACUGACGCUGAGACGCGAAAGCGUGGGGAGCGAGCAGG
rnacentral:rRNA from 1 species